rnacentral:rRNA from 1 species
AACGCUGGCGGCGCGCCUAACACAUGCAAGUCGAACGGAGUUAUUAUGACAGAAUCUUCGGAUGAUGGAUUGAUGACUUAGUGGCGAACGGGUGAGUAACGCGUGAGCAAUCUGCCUUAAAGAGGGGGACAACAGUUGGAAACGACUGCUAAUACCGCAUAAGCCCACACUACCGCAUGGUAGAGUGAGAAAAGAUUUUAUGUGCUGAAAGAUGGUCUCGCGUCUGAUUAGCUAGAUGGCGGGGUAACGGCCCACCAUGGCGACGAUCAGUAGCCGGCCUGAGAGGGUGAACGGCCACAUUGGGACUGAGACACGGCCCAAACUCCUACGGGAGGCAGCAGUGGGGAAUAUUGCACAAUGGGGGAAACCCUGAUGCAGCAACGCCGCGUGAGUGAAGAAGUAUUUCGGUAUGUAAAGCUCUAUCAGCAGGGAAGAAAAUGACGGUACCUGACUAAGAAGCUCCGGCUAAAUACGUG